CUGAGCCCCUCUUUUUGCAAGGCUUUUUUUUUUAAACCAACAAUAGAGCGGGAGAACAGAUUGACUCCUGUAAGGCCAGCACUUUCUGUUCUUCUUUUUCUUCAUCCCAUUUCUAUAAAUCUCCAAAUUAUGCACUCCAAGAAUGGAAUCUUAUGGCAGUUUGUGCAGCACUUGGAAGGCUGAAUUUGGCUUUCCACCCUUGUCCCUGCUGGUGAAUCUACCAGAUGCAACUGCCGCACAUCAAUUCCUUUGGCUUUCCGUCACAUUAUCUCACUUCAAGCAUUCGCAUAUUUCCACACACACAGCCACGCGCGUCCUGCCGCGAGCGCCGAUAGGUUCCCGUACUGAUCACCCACUCGUUCCUCCGAAAGCCCUGGAGACGGUGAGCACAGGCUAACAAGGGAACGGGGGAUGAAAACAGAGUGCUGGAAGACGCAGGCUGCUGGAGGAAAAAGUAUCAGGGUUGAGGAUGUCUUUCCUUGGAAUCAAAUUGUGCAUAUUUUCAUCUUUGCUCAUAGACCAACUCCCACAGGACAUCAGUAUGCCAAACCAAAGGCCUGCUGUGUCUGUUUACUCUUCGCUACAAGAGAGGGGACUGAAUCAAACUCAUUUCAGCCCGUAAGACACGUUCGCAAGAAAUAAAGACACAGAACUUCAAACAGAACUCGGUUAUACAGAUUCAGUCAAUAUGCGCUGACAGCCUGGCAGCCUUCGUCAGAGCACGCGUCUUUGUCAGACCACGGGCUGACUGACUGAUGAGGAGGAGAGCAGCAAACUGGAAAAUGAGAGGCAAGAAAAGAGGAGGAGGAGGUGCGAAGAAAGAGGAGAGAGGAGGGCGAAGUGGACAAGAGGAUUUGAGAAGGUUGAAUAAAAAUGGCACGAAAAAUAGGCCGAGUGACAAAAAAAAGUGGCUGUGGAUGUGCCUGAAAUGUGGAGAUGAAGCAGGGGUGAAGAGGAGACCAGAUUGUAGGAAUUAAAGUGGGGGGAGCGUGGUGGCUCCCCUACUAAAAGGGAGUAAAGAAAAGGAAACUGUAGUUUAAUAGCUACUGUAGGCGUCUGUGUUUGUGUUGCUUGUGUGCACAAGCGGGAACUGGUUUAGAUGGGUGGCAGAGUGUAAUAAGAAAUGUGACCUAUUGAUUGGUUGUAGAAAGAUGUCAAAGCUCUGUAUAUGUGUGUGUGUGUGUGUGUGUGUGUGUGUGAGAGAGAGAGUGUCGAGGGGGUUGAUGUCAGGGGUGGCACGGGGACAAAAUGUCUUCCUCUUUUCCUGUGAGCGUAUCCAGCCACUUGCCAUCACAUCUUUAGCAUGAUUUGGCUUUGCCACGGAUAAAAUCAGAUUAUUAUAUGAUUAUGAUGUGUGGUUAAGGUAACGGCGCCUGAGGGCUGCGGCGGGUUAUUAUGUGAGAGUGUUAAACAGAGGAGGAAGUGUGCUCCCCCAGAUUGACAAUCCAAUUAAACGAGUGCGUGGUGUGUUAAGAGCAGCUUCAGACCACCCAGGGAAGCAACAAAUAAUACACGAUUUCUGGCCUACAUAGGCACUUGAAAUCGAGGUGCUUUGAUGUCUGCCUGCACAGCCAGUUGUGAAAAAGAUUCUGCAUGCAUUAUAAUAUACAUAAUACAGCUCUUAUAUCAUCCUCUCAUCUCUGUUUGUCCAAGGCUGUCGUAUAAGAAAGGAGCGAGUGGAUCCUCAAGCUUGGAAAGCAGAUUGAAAGAGCGUGACUUGUCCUUCAAACUGCUGCAACAUUUUGAAUAUGUGCAUUAUGCACUAUUUAACCUACAGAAUCCCCCCAACCAGUGCUUUUCUGUAGCAAGGGCCCUCUCUCAUGGCUCACCUUGUCAGUGUUUCUGUGCUCGCAGCAGAAGAGAUCAGAAGAGUGAGCACAGAGGAAGCCUAUAGACAGAGCAAACAAUUCAAAUGCCACAAAGGUGAUUGAUUAGUUGGCCUGACCCGCGCUCCUGCGUCAAUAAAAUGGAUCAUGAAAAAGGAUGAAAGAAAGGAUGCUUGUGGUGUGUGUAUGAUGGACGCCUGAUGCUACUAAAAAGAGCCCUUCAUAGUGAUUGAGAGCAGAGGAGGAAUCUGAAACAGAGACAUUAUUUUUUACCCUUAAUCCCUGACAGAGAGGUAAUUUUUUUUACAUUCAGUUUAUAAGUUCAUCAUUCUUUAAACAAUCGAGAGGGAUUUUUUUCUUCUGAAACAAUCCGCAGAUUAGGGACGGUUCGGUUUGCUUGUCUCGGUUUUAGACGUGUGUGUUGUUCGGUUCAGGGCAUGCUCGUAAAAGCCUUGCACCAUUGACUCAAAUGAAGGAGCAGAGGGUUUGCAGCAGCCAAGUCGUGAAAAUAGUGAACGGUAAAGCGAAAGCGAUAGAGGAUGCGCCAGCAGCAGCAUCGUUUCGGUCUGCUGUGUGAGACCAUUCUGGAUUUAGUGCUACCUUAGAUGACCGCAGUAAGAAAGUGGUGGAUAAAACUGUAACAGGUGUCGCGUCUGCUAACAGCAACACACCCAAAAUUGGCUCCAAUCCAGCCUUAAUGCCGCAGUAGAGGUGACACAAUGACAUUUCCACUUUUGAUACUAAAUAACCUUAAAUCUGUAAUUGUGUUUCCAAUGCUGCAGAAGUGGAAAAAUAAUCUUUCCAUAAAUAACUCACUAUCAGGAAACUGAACUACUGUUUUCUGUGUUUAUUUUAAAGAAGGAAAAGUCUUCUUCUCUUUAUUUUGAUUGUCUUUGCCUGUAAUGUGAUCACAAAAAUACCAAAGUUAUAGUCUUUUGUUUGCACAAAUUUAGGGUUCACAACUUUGAGAGCCAGCUUCCUCUUUUAUUUAAUCAGGCAAUAUUCUUUUGUAAGAAGCACAGCAGAGUUAACAGAUAAAUACAGUGUGUGAAUUUCAGUCAUUUUACUCUUUAUGUUCUGAACACAUAGAAAGGGUCCUUAAAGAUGGAGAGAUCACUAUAUUUUAGCAUCAAGAAAACGUAUACUUUUAGUUAAGACGUGACAGUGAAGAACUACUUAUGUAAUUAGCAGGAAUUUAAGGAAAAACCCAUUUUAAUCAUUUUGUGCCAAAAAAAGAAGGAAAAGCAUUUUAAAUUUAGCCAUAUUUCUACUUUACUGUACAAAAGUCUCACCUAGCUGUAACCUAAGACUGUCACAAUGACGUGCGUCAUUCUUUCAGUUAUGCAUGCCUUAAGCAUAACUGAUAUUGUAAACACUGUAAACUGAACCAAAAACUGCGACCCCAUAAAAUCAUAGUAUGGACUGGCUAGU